GUCCAAACCGUAAACGAUGCCGACUCGGGAUCUCCUCUCUACAUUUGCGGGAGAGGGGGCACCGCACGGGAAACCAAAGUCUUAGGGUUCCGGGGGAAGUAUGGCGGCAACGCUGAAACUUAAAGAAAUUGACGGAAGGGCACACCAGGAGUGGAGCCUGCGGUUCAAUCUGACUCAACACGGAGAAACUUACCAGGUCCGGACUUCGGGAGGAUUGACAGUCUGAGCGAGCUUUCUUGAUUCGAAGGGUGGUGGUGCAUGGCCGUCCUUAGUUCGUGUUGUGAAAUGUCUGGUCGAUUCCGAUAACGAACGAGACCGGGGUUGCUUUUUCGGCCGGGUUCUCUUUGAGAGCUGUUGGGCGUGAAGAGCGAGACAACCUUCGUUUAGAAGGGGGAGGCACCCGGCGAUGACAGGUCUGUGAUGCCCUUAGAUGUUCUGGGCUACACGCGCGCUACAAUGGUUGGUUCAGCGGGUUACUUUGGGGUGCCUCGGAAGGGGUGCCGAAUCCUGUGAAUGCCAGCCGUGAUGGGGCUAGAUUCUUGCAAUUAUUAAUCUUCAACGAGGAAUUCCUAGUAUGUGCGAGUCAUCAGCUCGCGCAGAAUG
rnacentral:rRNA from 1 species